rnacentral:rRNA from 1 species
UACGUAGGCAGCAAGCGUUGUUCGGAGUUACUGGGCGUAAAGGGUGUGUAGGCGGUUGGAUAAGUGUGGUGUGAAAUCUCCCGGCUCAACUGGGAGGGUGCGCUACAAACUGUCUGACUAGAGUGUGGGAUGGGAAAGUGGAAUUCCUGGUGUAGCGGUGAAAUGCGUAGAUAUCAGGAGGAACACCGGUGGUGUAGACGGCUUUCUGGACCAUAACUGACGCUGAGACACGAAAGCGUGGGGAGCGAACAGG